UGGGGAAUAUUGGACAAUGGGCGCAAGCCUGAUCCAGCCAUGCCGCGUGAGUGAUGAAGGCCCUAGGGUUGUAAAGCUCUUUCACCGGUGAAGAUAAUGACGGUAACCGGAGAAGAAGCCCCGGCUAACUUCGUGCCAGCAGCCGCGGUAAUACGAAGGGGGCUAGCGUUGUUCGGAUUUACUGGGCGUAAAGCGCACGUAGGCGGCCUAUUAAGUCAGGGGUGAAAUCCCGGGGCUCAACCCCGGAACUGCCUUCGAUACUGGUCGUCUUGAGUUCGAGAGAGGUGAGUGGAAUUCCGGGUGUAGAGGUGAAAUUCGUAGAUAUUCGGAGGAACACCAGUGGCGAAGGCGGCUCGCUGGCUCGAUACUGACGCUGAGGUGCGAAAGCGUGGGGAGCAAACAGG
rnacentral:rRNA from 1 species